rnacentral:rRNA from 1 species
AGGAAUUGGCGGGGGCGCACUACAAGGGGUGGAGCGUGCGGUAUAAUUGGAUUCAACGCCGGGAACCUCACCGGGGGAGACGGCAGGAUGAAGGCCAGGCUGAAGGUCUUGCCGGACACGCCGAGAGGAGGCGCAUGGCCGCCGUCAGCUUGUACCGUGAGGUGUCCAUUUAAGUGUGGUAACGAGCGAGACCCGCGCCCCCAGUUCCCAGGCUUCCCCGGUGGGAAGGGGGCACUCUGGGGGGACUGCCGGCGAUAAGCCGGAGGAAGGAGCGGGCGACGGUAGGUCAGUAUGCCCCGAAACCCCCGGGCUACACGCGCGCUACAAUGGGCGGGACAAUGGGAUCCGACCCCGAAAGGGGAUAGGAAUCCCCUAAACCCGCCCCCAGUUCGGAUCGCGGGCUGCAACUCGCCCGCNUGAAGCUGGAAUCCGCUAGUACAUCGCGGUCUC